ACUAAGCAUAUUAAAAAGAUUCAUGAGCAUUGUGUAACCAGAAAUGCAGCAUAUAACUUGUAGAAUCUAAGAGCAUAACAGCAAUAAAACUAAAAAAUCAAUGAAACUUAAAACCACAGUCCAACUUCAUCCUAAUUUUAAAUCCAUAAGACUCCAAUUCGCACCAAAUAAUUAAUAACGCAACAUAUCCCAAAUAAACCCCCAACACAACUAUCCAAUCCAAUAAUAAAAUUCAAUCAGUGAAAUACUAAAAGAAAGAAACUGCAUUAAAAAG
rnacentral:misc_RNA from 1 species